GACAUUUUGCAAUGGAAAGUAAACAAAAGGAACAUUAAAAAUAAUCAAAUUGAAGUACUUAUAAUGAAUUUACCCAACACAAUCUAUCCUCGUUAGUCAUAAUAAGGAACAAAGCCUGCAUAGAAGCACUUUGAAGCUCCAUGCACGCCUUAAGACGAACAACGUGAUCUAGACCUUCCAUUCCAAUCAAAAUCGCACUACACUCGUUGAUUUUGAUUUCGAUCUCAACUGUCCGCUCGUUUCUCCUCGCACUCAUCCUGGCCAAUGAUCUUUCCAACGCCUCAAAUAACACAUCGUCAAUAUCAUCAUCAUCACUGUCACUCCACUCACUCCUGUGUGGUGUAGCUUUACAAUCUUUGCUCUCGUCAAUAUCAUCAUCAUCACUGUCACUCCACUCACUCCUGUGUGGUGUAGCUUUACAAUCUUUGCUCUCCUAUGUAACAUAAUUCGAAAUAAUCAAUCUAAACCAUUAUAAUUGUGCCUCUCUCUCUCUCACGCCCAUGUUACGAUUAUAAUUAUUUAGUUUAUUAGUUAAUUAUUGAUUUAGUUAUAUUUAAUUAUUAAUUAAUUAGAAUAGUUUGUUUAGGUUUAUAUAUGUCCGUGAGUUAGUGGUUAAGAGGAUUAUUAAGUAUUUUAUUAAGUAUCUUUCCUAGUUAGAUUAGGAUUCUUAUAUUUAAAUAGUCGUCUUGGGCUAGGGUUUUAGAAUGCAGAGAGAAAUAAUAAAGAAAAGUUUUCUUACGUUAUAGUAAAGAAAUCUUAUGAUACACA
rnacentral:lncRNA from 1 species